CCUGAGAAAUAGUCGUUCCUCUUGUUAGGAUGUGGAGAUUAAUCCCAAUUGGGCAUCAGGCAUCAGCCAAGUGCUCAAAAACUGUUGAGGAAGGAAACAUUGCAGUUUUUUAAUCAAAGUUCUGGCUGAGUCAGAGCGAUGUUCCAGGUUGGUUCAACCUAACAUAAAUGUUUCGAUGAAAGCUGGUUAGCCUUUACCAUUUCUCCUUAAGUACAGAGUGCUUUAAUUAGAGGAAAGCAAAGCAACAGCUGCUGUGAAUCUGUUCUGCUGUUGAGUUGUCAAUGCAAAGGCUCAAUUUCGAGCACUUCUUACUAAGCUUUCAGUACCAUUCUGGAGUCUGAAUUUACUGGUAUCUAAUGGUGAGAUUUCAACACCAGACAAGGAAAACAUGCUGGCCUUGAACUCAAGCCCUGUUCCUUGGGUUUCGAAUCUGAUCCACGGGGGUCCUGGAGUGCUCGACUGAGGAUUCUAAGACCACUUCAGGGCUCAGCAGCAGACGGUGCCAUGUGCCUGCCUCAGAACUGAGAAGCGAUUUUUACAUCCGCGCUUUCUGACUGACUAAGAGUUCACAGAGCUUUCCUACCACUGAGAAGGCGAUUCCAUUGGUCUAAGAACCCAUCUCUGCACCUCUGCCUGGUUCCUCUGCAGUGGGAUGAAGUGGAAUGGAUUUGGGUUCAAAAUGACCUAGAUUCAAACCUCAGCUCCAAUGCUUACUGGAUGUGUGACUCUGGUUAAGAUAAUCCCGCUUGAGCGAUGAAAAUGAUUGGUUCAUAGUGCUCCCUCAGUAGAGUCAAGGGCAAGGUAAGCCCUAGCAGCAUCCGCUCUUCCCAAACAGAAACGAGCCAGCAACACAGAAUGUCAAGAGAACCUUAGUAGUUUCCAGAUCAUCAAACUACAAAAGAGCUCUUCUGAGCUGCCAUAUGGCCGGCAAAGCCAAACACAUCCAGUGAUGGGUGUCACAGGGACAGACUGAGCCUGGCUGCUCACUGACUCACGGGGAUGACAGGACUUUCAAUGCUGUUAGAAUUAGAAUGCCGAGGGGGGCAGAGUAUGAUGCUUCCAUCCAGUUGCUCUUCAGCAAUGUGAAUCCUCUGUUAAACACUUAACCCUCCUAAUUAGACCUCAGGGGCUUAAGCUUCAUGUUGGGUGACCUUAUAAAGAAAGCCACGGAAUGGCCUCUAUGCCAGGCUUCAGUGUGGGGACUUGAGUAGGAAAUUCCUCCAUAUAUUUUCUGUAGAUUCAACACAGUGUCCACCCCCAUUGUCCCUCCCUGUUCUGGCUUAGUGGGGAGAGGGUCUUUUGUAUGAAAUACAAAUUAUCCUAUGGAAGGUGAUUGGUUUUAGCUCAAAAGAGGCUGGCUUAUGUGGUGGAUGCCCUACCUCAAGAAUUUAAAAACAGAGGCAAACAGGACCUCAGUUAAGGAGUUGUGGGGAGCCCUAAGAGAUGGCCUUCACUGGCUCUGGUCCAGCAGCAGUGACAGGAUGAAGCUGGGGCCCUGGGGGAAAUGAAAGCAGAGAAGGUGAGAGGA
rnacentral:lncRNA from 1 species